rnacentral:misc_RNA from 1 species
GAUGAAGAACGCAGCGAAAUGCGAUAAGUAGUGUGAAUUGCAGAAUUCCGUGAAUCAUCGAAUCUUUGAACGCACAUUGCGCCUUCUGGUAUUCCGGAAGGCAUGCCUGUUUGAGAGUCAUUAACAACCGUUUCGAUCCCUUUCUUUCAGAAAUUACAAAGAGGAAAAGGGUUUGGUUAUGGUGGAGGAGGGAAAGGGAGCGUUUAGCCUGUAAAAAAAGAGGCUGUGUUCCGCCUCCCCCCCAAAAUUGUACAGGCGGUCGUGUGCGCCCACGCAUCGAGGUGUUGUAAAAGCUGCCACGGCACUUUUCACCUGUGCAGUGCGAGAUUGGCCAGCCGGUUUAAAAACCCCUCCAAACAAUCAAAGGUUGACCUCGGAUCAGGUAGGGAUACCCGCUGAACUUAAGCAUAUCAAUAAGCGGAGGA